AAAAUAUAUCCAAUAGCAAAAGAAGAAUUCCCAAUUUCAUCAGGUCGUACAACUACAUCUACAGGUAUCUAAGAGGUAACGAGGAGUCAUUCUGAUGCAAUAGGGAGACAACGCGAGUCACGAUCGGUCAAGAGUUUCCUAUUGAAAUACCGCGAUGGACGAAAAUGCAUUUCCGCAACUAUCAUUUUUUCUGACCACGAUAUCUCUAUCAAUAAGAAAAAUUGGCUGUAAGUUAUUUGUUCAUCCAAAAAUAUUGAAUGAAAUAGAUGAAGUCGAAAAAUGUGAAAUGAAUAGAAGAUAAAAAAGUAU